rnacentral:rRNA from 1 species
AGAGUUUGAUCCUGGCUCAGGAUGAACGCUAGCGGCAGGCUUAACACAUGCAAGUCGAGGGGCAUCAGGAGUAGCAAUACUUGCUGGCGACCGGCGCACGGGUGAGUAACGCGUAUGCAAUCUACCUUUUACAGGGGAAUAACCGAGAGAAAUCUUGACUAAUUCCGCAUAACAUUUAGCUUCAGCAUUGGAGUUAUCUUAAAGGCUUCGGCCGGUAAAAGAUGAGCAUGCGUAUCAUUAGAUUGUUGGUGAGGUAACGGCUCACCAAGUCUACGAUGAUUAGGGGUUCUGAGAGGAUUAUCCCCCACACUGGGACUGAGACACGGCCCAGACUCCUACGGGAGGCAGCAGUGAGGAAUAUUGGUCAAUGGCCGAAAGGCUGAACCAGCCAUGCCGCGUGCAGGACUACGGCCCUACGGGUCUUAAACUGCUUUUGUAAGAGAACAAUAAGUUCUACGUGUAGAAUGAUGAGUGUAUUUUACGAAUAAGCAUCGGCUAACUCCGUGCCAGCAGCCGCGGUAAUACGGAGGAUGCAAGCGUUAUCCGGAUUCAUUGGGUUUAAAGGGUGCGUAGGCUGUCAGGUAAGUCAGCGGUGAAAUUCAUGGGCUCAACCCAUGACCUGCCGUUGAUACUGCUUGACUUGAAUAUGAAUGAAGCGGGAGGAAUAUAUGGUGUAGCGGUGAAAUGCAUAGAUAUCAUAUAGAAGGCCGAUUGAGAAGUCAUCUCGCUAAUUCAUUAUUGACGCUGAGGCACGAAAGCGUGGGGAUCAAACAGGAUUAGAUACCCUGGUAGUCCACGCCGUAAACGAUGAUAACUCGCUGUCGGGGCAAUUGAGCUUCGGUGGCUUAGCGAAAGCGUUAAGUUAUCCACCUGGGGAGUACGUUCGCAAGAAUGAAACUCAAAGGAAUUGACGGGGGCCCGCACAAGCGGAGGAACAUGUGGUUUAAUUCGAUGAUACGCGAGGAACCUUACCCGGGCUCGAACGGUUAAUGACCGAUGUAGAGAUACAUUUUCUGUUUACAGCAUUAAUCGAGGUGCUGCAUGGUUGUCGUCAGCUCGUGCCGUGAGGUGUCGGCUUAAGUGCCAUAACGAGCGCAACCCUUGUCGUUAGUUGCCAGCGGGUGAUGCCGGGGACUCUAACGAGACUGCCAGCGUAAGCUGUGAGGAAGGGGGGGAUGACGUCAAAUCAGCACGGCCCUUACGUCCGGGGCGACACACGUGUUACAAUGGGAGGUACAAUUGGCAGCUACCUGGCGACAGGAUGCUAAUCUGUAAAGCCUCUCUCAGUUCGGAUUGGAGUCUGCAACUCGACUCCAUGAAGUUGGAUUCGCUAGUAAUCGCAUAUCAGCCAUGAUGCGGUGAAUACGUUCCCGGGCCUUGUACACACCGCCCGUCAAGCCA